rnacentral:lncRNA from 1 species
CCACCGGCACCAUUGGUAAGCGCUUUGCCAGCAUCAAUGUUGAGAAUGUUGAGGACAACCGUCGCGCCCUCCGUGAGCUCCUCUUCUGCACCCCUGGAGCCCUCCAGUACCUCAGCGGUGUGAUCCUCUUCGAGGAGACCUUGUACCAGAGCACCAAGGGUGGCAAGCCCUUCGUCGACAUCCUCAAGGAGGGCAACGUCCUCCCUGGCAUCAAGGUGGACAAGGGUACCGUCGAGCUCGCUGGAACCAACGGUGAGACCACCACCCAGGGCUUUGAUGACCUUGGCAAGCGCUGCGCCAAGUACUAUGAGGCUGGUGCCCGCUUUGCCAAGUGGCGUGCCGUCCUGAAGAUUGGCCCUACCGAGCCAUCACAGCUUUCCAUCAACCAGAAUGCUCAGGGUCUGGCUCGUUAUGCCAUCAUCUGCCAGGAGAAUGGUCUGGUGCCCAUUGUAGAGCCUGA